rnacentral:lncRNA from 1 species
GUAGCAAGACAUGGUAUUAGUAUUAUGGCAUAAAUCACAAAAUAUAAAAAUAUAAAUGAUAACAACCAUUAUAAAAGUGCAACAUAAAAUGAUUAGGGUGGAAAUAGCAAAUAAUAAAGCAUUUGACUUUGGGCCCAGAGUCCCAAAGUUACCAAACCUUAGCUUUAAAGGAUAUGGUUUUGAAUAAAAAAUUAAUAAAAAUAAAAAAAUAAAAAAAAUGAAAAGAGUGAA